AGCAGAACGGGCGAUUCGGGAUGAACCGGAAGCGGGGAGAAAGGGCCCGAGAUUGCGUCGACGCGGAUCCCGAAAAGGGCGUCGAUCCGUCGCGACAGCGGGACGGUGGUCAUGGAAGUCGAAAUCCGCUAAGAAGCGUGUAAAAACGUACCCGCCCAACGGAUCGGCCCCGAAAAUUGAUGGCGCUCGAACGCAACCCUCGAACCCCGCCGACGGAGGCUAGGGGAGGCCCCGUCGAGUAGGCGGACGCGCGGGUCGCUUCGACGCUCCCGCGCGAGCGGGGGCGGAGCGGCCCGUGGUGCAGAUCUUGGUGGUAGUAGCGAUCACCCAGGCGAGAACCCUGAGGGCCGAAGUGGAGAAGGGGUUUCUCGAGAACGGCACUCGCUCGAGAGUUAGUCGAUCCUAAGCUGCCGGCGGCAGCCACGAAACGGUCGAUCGGGCGCGAGCCCGGCAGCCACGACCGGGCAGCGAAAGGGAAUUGGGAACCGUCCUUCCCAAACCCGGACCGGAACCGAGGG
rnacentral:rRNA from 1 species